AUUGAACGCUGGCGGCAGGCCUAACACAUGCAAGUCGAACGAGUGGCGGACGGGUGAGUAAUGUCUGGGAAACUGCCUGAUGGAGGGGGAUAACUACUGGAAACGGUAGCUAAUACCGCAUACCAUACGAUGGGCCCAGAUGGGAUUAGCUAGUUGGUGGGGAAAAGGCUCACAAGGGCGACGAUCCCUAGCUGGUCUGAGAGGGUGACCAGCCACACUGUACCUGAGACACGGUCCAGACUCCUACGGGGGGCAGCAGUGGGGAAUAUUGCACAAUGGGCGCAAGCCUGAUGCAGCCAGGCCGCGUGUAUGAAGAAGGCCUUCGGGUUGUAAAGUACUUUCAGCGGGGAGGCGUUACCCGCAGAAGAAGCACCGGCUAACUCCGUGCCAGCAGCCGCGGUAAUUC
rnacentral:rRNA from 1 species